GAAAAAGUUGGCUUCACGAAACAAAGAUGUAGGAAAAGUUUGAAAUAAGCAAGAUCAUUUAGCUCACAGGUAGAGAUCCCACGGAACAUUACCUCGGUUCUCACAAGGGAUUCCAAAAUAUUCAGAAAUCGGCUUAGAAUUGACCUCACACCUUCUCAUCCUUUGAAACUGCCAAUUUAGCGGAUUUUCCCACGUUCUCUGCAACGCCUCAGGAUUUCCCAGAGACCUGCAGGAACUCACGAGCCCACCUGCGCGGCGGCGCCUGCGCUGCGGUGCAGAGCCAGCAGAGGGCAGUGCGCCUGCGCGGUGAGCGUGUGCGCAGCCGCGCGCCCCCUCGCUCUGCAUUGGCCCGCAAAGGCGCGCCACCCAAUCACGCCACAGCGCGCUGGCCAGGGUGCGGGGGGCGAGGGGGCGAGGGGGAGGGGACAUCUCCGCGGCCUGUCACUUGGCCGCAGCCUUACCGCCGGCCCGCAGCCCCUGGCUCUGACUUGCGCUUCCGUGUCCUGAGACCCUCUUCCCGCACCCCACCUUCCGCUGCGCGCGAGCCUCUUCCGGCUUCCACACCGCUCCGGGCCUGUUUCCGCUCCUGAGAUACCUAUAUGAAGAUCCAAAGUAUAAAGAAGAAAAAGAAAUGACAGUACUGUUCUUCCCUCAGCACCAAUGAUCUUCCGCUUUUCUGAUUUUUCAUAUUUAGUAACACCAAGGAGUCAUAGUGAGAUGCAUUAAUAACGCUGGCAGGUUUAUAUAGUAGUCUCUGAAGGCAGAAAAUAAAAGGGGUAUAGCAAGCAUUUUUAAGUCAGGCCAGGGAAAACGUUUCAAAUUUUUAUCUGAAAUAUUUAGACAGUGCUUUCUAAUGUACUCCUAACUAUAGCAAAUAUUAAUUUCCAUUCACAAAACCCAUGAAACCCAUGAUUUGAUCUGCUUCUGGGGAGGGUGACAGGAUUGGCUUGAGUUUACUUUGGCAUCUUUGGCUUGCCAGCAAAUUGUGGGAGCUUGGCUUCAUUUUAAUGGUGUGUAUGCCUUUAUAUACACACACUUUUGACUGUGUACCAAGUCUCAUAACUGCUGUACAAACAGUAUGUGUGGAGUCCAAGGGAAUUCAGCGGUGCUGGGUAAGUCAUAAGCCUGGAGACAGAGCAGUUGGGCCCAGUACUUAAUUAUUUAAAGUCCAGAAAAUAAGGCUCUGAUCUUCAGACCUCCAGCAUACAGUAUUAUAAACACACAUAGCUCACAACAUGUAUUUUUUAUAAGUGAAAUAGAAAUGAAUUAUGUGGUGAUUCAUGCAAUCAUGAAUACCGUGAAAUCUCUAAGAUGAGAAAAAUAUUCUAUACUAAUACUAGUAUUUGAAAUUCAAUGUACUUGACCCCAGAAGCUGAAUUCUUCAUAUAUACUGCAAAUGUCUUCUGCCUGCUUAAAUAGGUUAAAACUUUUUUGUAUGAGUAUUUUGCUUACAUUUAGCUCAAUAUGUGCAGCAUGAAAGUGCAGGAUAUCUGCAGAGGUCAGGAGAGGGCGUCAAAUUGCCUGGAACAGGAGUGACAGGAAGUGGUGAGCUUCAGCGUGAAUGCUAGGAUCUGAAGCUGGUCCUUAACAAGAACAGAUGUGUUCUUCACCACAGCCCCAUCUUCGGCCUCUUCAACAGGUUUAACCCUUAUGCUUUCUUGUUCAGCUCAUGUUUAGAUAGCUUAUGUUGGCAAGACUUUAUGGGUGUAGCUUCGGCCAUUGCUAGGAGAUAUAAUAUCACAAUAAACUCAUGGAUCCUCUGGC
rnacentral:lncRNA from 1 species